rnacentral:rRNA from 1 species
AGAGUUUGAUCCUGGCUCAGAAUCAACGCUGGCGGCGUGCCUAACACAUGCAAGUCGAACGCGAAAGUCCCGCAAGGGAUCAGUAGAGUGGCAAACGGGUGAGUAACACGUGGGUGACCUGCCUUCGAGUGGGGGAUAACGUCCCGAAAGGGACGCUAAUACCGCAUGACAUCCUGCCUUUGAAGAGGUGGAGCUUAAAGCUGGGGAUCGCAAGACCUAGCGCUUGAAGAGGGGCCCGCGCCUGAUUAGCUAGUUGGUGAGGUAACGGCUCACCAAGGCAACGAUCAGUAUCCGGCCUGAGAGGGCGGACGGACACACUGGGACUGAGACACGGCCCAGACUCCUACGGGAGGCAGCAGUGGGGAAUUGUUCGCAAUGGGCGCAAGCCUGACGACGCAACGCCGCGUGGAGGAUGAAGAUCUUCGGGUCGUAAACUCCUUUCGAUCGAGACGAACGGCCCCUGGGCUAAUCACCAGGGGAGUGACGGUACCGAGAGAAGAAGCCCCGGCUAACUCCGUGCCAGCAGCCGCGGUAAUACGGGGGGGGCAAGCGUUGUUCGGAAUUACUGGGCGUAAAGGGCUCGUAGGUGGCCAACUAAGUCAUACGUGAAAUCCCUCGGCUUAACCGGGGAACUGCGUCUGAUACUGGAUGGCUUGAGGUUGGGAGAGGGAUGCGGAAUUCCAGGUGUAGCGGUGAAAUGCGUAGAUAUCUGGAGGAACACCGGUGGCGAAGGCGGCAUCCUGGACCAAUUCUGACACUGAGGAGCGAAAGCCAGGGGAGCAAACGGGAUUAGAUACCCUAGUAGUCC